rnacentral:tRNA from 1 species
CAAAGAAUAGUUUAAUGAAAAUAAUAAUUUUGGAGAUUAUAGAUAAAGAAAAUCUUUUUCUUUGA